GACGUAGGGCGCGAGCGUUGUCCGGAUUUAUUGGGCGUAAAGAGCUCGUAGGCGGCUUGUCGCGUCGAAUGUGAAAACUCGGGGCUCAACUCCGAGCUUGCAUUCGAUACGGGCAGGCUAGAGUUCGGUGAGGGGAGACUGGAAUUCCUGGUGUAGCGGUGAAAUGCGCAGAUAUCAGGAGGAACACCGGUGGCGAAGGCGGGUCUCUGGGCCGAUACUGACGCUGAGGAGCGAAAGCGUGGGGAGCGAACAGG
rnacentral:rRNA from 1 species